rnacentral:rRNA from 1 species
CGCAAUGGGCGAAAGCCUGACGGAGCAACGCCGCGUGCAGGAGGAAAGCCUUCGGGUUGUAAACUGCUUUUAUUUGUGAUGAUUUUGACAGUAACAAAUGAAUAAGGACCUGCUAACUACGUGCCAGCAGCCGCGGUCAAACGUAGGGUCCAAGCGUUAUCCGGAAUUACUGGGCGUAAAGAGUUGCGUAGGUGGCAUGGCAAGCGAGCAGUGAAAUGGUUCGGCUCAACCGGGCAUACAUUGCUUGAACUGCCAAGCUUGAGCAUAGUAGAGGUACCUGGAAUUCCUAGUGUAGGAGUGAAAUCCGUAGAUAUUAGGAGGAACACCGAUGGCGUAAGCAGGGUACUGGGCUAUUGCUGACACUAAGGCACGAAAGCGU